UACAGGGGGGGCAAGCGUUGUUCGGAAUUACUGGGCGUAAAGGGUCUGUAGGUGGCCAACUAAGUCAGACGUGAAAUCCCUCAGCUUAACUGGGGAACUGCGUCUGAUACUGGAUGGCUUGAGUGUGGGAGAGGAAUGCGGAAUUCCAGGUGUAGCGGUGAAAUGCGUAGAUAUCGGGAGGAACACCUGUGGCGAAAGCGGCUCACUGGACCAUAACUGACGCUGAUGCACGAAAGCUGGGGGAGCAAACAGG
rnacentral:rRNA from 1 species